rnacentral:rRNA from 1 species
GACGAACGCUGGCGGCGUGCCUAAUACAUGCAAGUUGAGCGCUGAAGGUUGGUACUUGUACCAACUGGAUGAGCAGCGAACGGGUGAGUAACGCGUGGGGAAUCUGCCUUUGAGCGGGGGACAACAUUUGGAAACGAAUGCUAAUACCGCAUAAAAACUUUAAACACAAGUUUUAAGUUUGAAAGAUGCAAUUGCAUCACUCAAAGAUGAUCCCGCGUUGUAUUAGCUAGUUGGUGAGGUAAAGGCCCACCAAGGCGAUGAUACAUAGCCGACCUGAGAGGGUGAUCGGCCACAUUGGGACUGAGACACGGCCCAAACUCCUACGGGAGGCAGCAGUAGGGAAUCUUCGGCAAUGGACGAAAGUCUGACCGAGCAACGCCGCGUGAGUGAAGAAGGUUUUCGGAUCGUAAAACUCUGUUGGUAGAGAAGAACGUUGGUGAGAGUGGAAAGCUCGUCAAGUGACGGUAACUACCCAGAAAGGGACGGCUAACUACGUG